AAGGAAGGAAGGAAGGAAGGAAGGAAGGAAGGAAGGAAGGAAAAGAAGGAAUUUCAUCAUUUCUCUUAUACUGAUUAGGGUUUAUUUCUAGUUUGGAUGACACUAUCAUAAGCACUGGUGAAUCAUUUCCUAAAAAACAGUCCCUCCAGUAAUGGAGCUGUGGCUUAAAGAGGUAGAGCACUAUGCUGGGGAUAUGGCCUAGUGGCAAGAGCACUUGCCUCGUAUAC